GUUUUUUUCAUACUAGAAUACUUGGUAGCUUUUUCUGCAAGUCUUUCUCCAAUUCUCCUGUCAAUGGGGUUUUUUUUUUUUCGUUUAAAAAAAAAAAAAAAUUAUUGCAGUUUUGUCAGAGAUACAACAGCAUUUCUUAGACAGAGUGGUUCAUUCAGUCAACAUGACAGGGUAUUGAAUAUUUUCAUUUGUAUAUUGUACAUAUCAGCAUUCUGUAUGGACUAUGUUCGAACAGUUGUGUGGUAUGGUCUGUGAAUGGCCUGAACUUCGUGUUUCAGUCAUCAGAUAGAGUUAUUUCGUAGGAACUGGACCCAUGGGUCCCAGAUAUGUGUGUAUUCCUGGUACUGAUGUGUUAGUGAGUAGCAUGUCUCUUCCAGGUUUCUGAUAGUUUCUACCUUUUGUAACCAUUCCCGUGUAGUGGGUGCAUGUGGCUGUUUCCAAAGGGCUGGGAUGAGUUGAUUGGCUGCUGUGAUGAGAUGUAUCAAAAGUGUUCUCUCAUGUUUAUGCAUUUCUAGGGGUGGAAGGAGAAAGAUGUAUGUAUCUGGGUGUAGUGGGAUGUGCAUCCUGAGGAUCUUGUAUAGUGCCCCUGAAAUGCGUGUCCAGUAUUUGCGGAUCUCGGGACAGGUCCACCAUAUGUGUGUGGUUGUGCUUUCGGUUUGCUGGCAUCUCCUGUCUCGGGACAGGUCCAGCAUCUGUCUACGGUUGUGGGGAAGAGACGAUGAAGUUUCGACGGUGUGUAGUGCCACCUGGCUAUCCGUUUAUAGUUGCUUUCCUGUGCUAUUGUAUUUCUCGAGGUUUUGUGUAUUUAUCUGAAAAUCUGUUUCCAUUUGUUUUUGGGUAUCUCUAUCUGUAGUUCUCUUUCCCAAGUGGUGGUGAACGUUGGUAGGUUGUGGGUGGUUGUUGCUUGGAUAGUAGUGUACAUUAGUGAGAUGUGUUUCUUUUUGAUAUCUUGUUUGGAGCAGUGGAGUUCAAAUGCUGUGUGUGGUCGGCUCUGUCCCAGUGUUAGUGGUACUGAGU